GACCUUCUCAACCACAUCGUUCUUGUUUUGAAUGUGUGUGGCUUGGAUGUGGGGGGAAUAAUUUUAUUUUGCAGGCUUCAAAUCAAGAAGCCUGCUCCCCUGAAAUGCAAUAGUGGUGUCUGAGCUGCUACUGGUGUGAUAAAUUAUCUAUGCCUUUGGUGAUGCUGGUCAGCACGGCUUAUAACGGACUUGUGAUCAUUUGACAA
rnacentral:misc_RNA from 1 species